UACUAACUGUAUUAUUUUUAGGAAAUCUUCAAUAUAAGCUGAUUCCAACGAACCGCGGGAAAUCCAUACUGAUGCUUGGGAACUACACUUACAGCCAGAUGAACAACUGCAAAAAGUUCUACUGCUCCAAGAGACAAACUAUAGUGUGUAAGGCUCGAGUCACACUGGACGACAGUGGCGCCAUCGCGGAGGCCGAUGUGCACCACACGCACCCCCCCGAUGAGUUCUUUAUCACUAAAUCCGGAGAGUACAUCAGACUGAACAAAUAACACACCUAACAGCUGCAUUUUAUUUUUAAUGUUUGCAUUACGAGCCAACUUACCAAUUGUUCCCAACGAAAAGAGGGAAGACGUUACUCUUGAUGAAUCAUUACACGUAUAACGAGAAACGUAAACUGAUAUACUACUGUUCGAAGGCUCCCACGGGAUGCAGGGCGUGCAUAAAGCUCGAUAACGACGGAAGCAUACGAGAAGCUAACACGAACCACACGCACGAACCUAUGAAAUAUGUUAUCACUAAACAAGGCAAUUUGUGCAAAUUAUAGUCAAUGCUUAUAUUGACUGAUACGGGGGUAUUGUUAUUGUUAGGUACGACCCCUCUCAGACGCAUUGUUACUAUGAGAGGGGGGUCAGAUUUAUCUGCCCCUGACCGUACGGUGUAUCAAAAAUAUCACAUAUCAUAUAUUAAUAUUACUAGCUGUUCCCGCAAGCUUCGCGAUAUAAAGUAGCCUAUAUAAUGUGUUAAUUUCGUUAAAAUCGGUUUAGCCAUUUUGAUGUGAAGAAGUAACAAACAUACUCUCAUACAUACACACAUACUCACAAACUUUCGCAUUUAUAAUAUUAGUAGGAUUCAGUGUUAAGUUUUGGAUUAGUUAAACAGAGUUUUGCUGAAAUGCACGGAGGAAUACUAAUGUCGAUUAAAUUUAUUCUAUUGUAGCCUUGCUUUGUCAUUAUAUCUAAAGUGGCAGACAUUUAGUUAAUAGUUCCUUUGUGCAACUCAGCAUUUGUAUAAAGUAUUUAAUGUUAGUCGUUAUUUUAACGGAUAUUUCAUAUACCUACAGUAAUUGCGUGUUGGCGUUAACUAUUGAUUUUAUAAUAAUAUAUAAAUGUACAUCACUGCAAUUGAGAGAGAAUAGAAUAGUGUUUCACAGUAAUUAUUUUAUUAGUAAGAACAUAGUUUAUUAUCUUAGUAAUUUCAUUGAACACAUGUUUACAAGUAGUAUGUAAGUGAUAAACUUUAGUUAUGUAGGUUCAAGUUAAAUAUCAACCUACUCAAACUGGAAAAAAUACUUAUAAUUGUUUUUUUUACUUAUAUAAAAUAAUAACAUCAAGCAUCGUUAUUAAUUUCAGUCUUCUUUCUAAUCACAUUUAAGGAGAUGUUAUUAUUAUUAGUAUCAUUAAGAAAGCCUUUUAGAUAUUUUAAAAUAAGUAGGUACUUUAUCUAAUAAAAUAUACAAUUACUAUAAAAACAUUAUUUUCGGGUCCCAAAACAAUCAAGACAAUAGGUCCAGGACGUCAUUUACAUAUUACACUAAGGUACAAAAAAAAUUACACUUGUUCAUUAAGCAGUCAGUAAUUACAAUAAUUGAUAUACCUACCUUGAUUUUUUAUUAAUUUUUUACCUAUGUUAUUUAUGCAGAUGUGGCUGAAAACCGGCGGCGUUACGAAGAAGAACUUCUUGUUUGUUGCAACGGACAACCAAGAUGGACCCGGCGGAGAAUACAAGAAGUCAUAGACAUACUUGAACUGUUUGAACAAAAGCCUCAGCUUCAUGUCAGGAGAACAUCCAACGACUAUUUUUAUGCUAAAACGUAUGAAAUUAUACAGAAAUCAGGGCAAAAGUAUCUGGCUUUAAAGCGAAAAUCUAAAAGUGAUCGUCUCAUACAAGUGUUGGCAUUUGAGGACUAUUAUGAUGUUUUGUCAGAAAUUCACCGGAAGACUGGACACGUGGGGCGCGACAAGACGAUGCGCACUGCGAAAAAGACAUAUACACUGCCUGUGUGGGCGGUCAACAGUUUCCUUAAGAUGUGUAUGACGUGUCAAAAUAAGAAGGGGUGUAAAAAAACUAAACUUAUCGAAUCCCCUUAAUUGGCUUAGUAGUAUACAGGGUGUUCCGAAAGACAACGUCAUGCCUUGGAGGGUUGAUAGCUCAGGAGUGACUAAAAUAUCGCAAUAUGACCUUAAGUAAAAAUCUAUAGUUUUGAGACACACACCCUGUAUAUACUUGUAGGGUUCAAUUAUACAGUAUUUUACCUAUGCAUUAAAUAAAUAUAAAUACCAGCAAUAUAUUUAUAUUUUAUUGUUCUUAUCUAUUCUUUUGUUAUCAUUCUGAUACAACUCAACCCUUUUUGAAAUACUAUGGUAUAAUUUAUUACUACAGAAUUACAAAUAGAUAGAUAAUUAUUAUUUGUUAUUUUUCUUUACAGAUAAAGAAGGUAGGCUUGCACGGGCUAUUUCAAAACCUACAAUUCAAUGCCACCUCAAGACUUCCCCCAUUAUUACACCGAAAACAAUCAUCCCAUCUGACACCUCCUCCACUAUUAAUACCAACGAAUUCCCCAUCUCCACACAAACCACUCCUUCUGCAACUAUAACUUCGUCUGCCAGCCUUCCUAUUUCCUCUGUAAACACUGUCUCUCUCAAGUCUCAUUUCGAUACCGCCUUCUUCUGUUACAUUAAAACUAUAUUUAAUAUUUUUCCUCUUGCCAUUCAAAUGCAGCUUAAAAGGGAAAUCUUUAAAAUUUUCCUGACUACAGAACUGCAAUUUUUUCUAAAUCCAUAAUUCUAUAUCAACUUUCAUGCUUUCACACACACUCACAUCUUUUCAUUUUAAUUUAAUUUAUUAGCAAAUAAACAUUGUUUUUAAAGUAAGAAUGUAUUAUUUUUGUUCAAUAAAAAUAGCUACUUAGAUUUUUUAAUGUACAAAAUGUAUUUCUACUUAAACAAAAUUAAAUGCAAGAGCGUUAAAAAUACUUUUAUUUUUCCUCCGGUUCCUAAUGUAGUUACGACUUUCGAUACUUUUGUGUUUUCCCAUGACACGGUGGCAUAAAAUGAGUAUGUUAUGAAUAUGUCUUAAUUUCUUUCAGUUUUUAGGUAAAUAAAAAAAAAAUUGUGCAGUUUAAUAAAGUCAAACUUUUACAUCAAGAAAUAAUAUAUUUUUGGCGAUCUCACUAGGGUUCAUCUAGGUGCAAUCCUGUGUAAUCAUAUACGCAAAAUUCAAUAAUUACGUAUUACAGGAUACCAAUACAGGAUGUUCCCUACCGGCAAAGGAAAAAGCUUACUCUUAAUGAAUGAGUACACAUACACUGAAUACCGCAAAACAACAUUUUAUUGCUCGAAAAAGAUGUCCACUGGAUGUAGAGCGAAGGUUCACUUCAAUAAAGACGGAAGUAUUCGUGAGGUAGACGAGAACCACGUGCUGCAUGGGACCACUAAAUACAUGAUCACAAAAGAUGGAACGUUGAUUAAAUAUUAAUAUUAUAUUAUUAAUUUUAUAAUUUUAUGUUUAUACUACGCUCGUUUGAUACGAUACGAGUAAUAAAUAGUAAUAUAGUAUAACCAUUUUUUCACCCGUAUGAAAUUUUGUUUUUUAAAAGUCCCCGUGUUUUUUAUUUAAAUAGUAAGUAAGUAUAAGUUAAAGUUUUAUCACUAGUAAUGAGUUUUGUUUUUUUUUCAGGAUGUGAUCCUAAUUGCAAAUUGCAAUGUGCGACCAAAUACUCACAAGACGCCCGAGAAGAGUUAAGAAAACAAUUCCACAGCUUCAAUGAUUCACAGAAAUAUCAUUUUUAUAGCGAGUACACCGAGCGGAAGGAUAAACUAAGGGAAAGAACAAAAAACGAGUGUAGUAGGAGGAAAUAUACUUUCAUAUACUACUUCCCUCAUAUAGGGACUAGAGAAAAGGUGUGCCGCAGUUUUUUCAGUAAAACUUUGGAUAUAUCUGUUAAAAGAGUAUACAAUUAUUAUAAAAAAAUGGAUGUGUUUCCGAUGCCCAUUAAAAUACUCUACCCAAAAGAAGAGCCUUAUGAUACCUAUGAUGAAUAAGAGCGAACAACCAAAACAAAAAAAGGAGAAUUACUGCUCUUUUGAAAUAAAUAAAAUAUUAAAUAAAUAAAACACAUGAAUUUGGAUCGUUAAAAUCGCCGGCAAAAUUUUAAUUUAAUCAAUUUUUUUUAUAUUUGUACAUUAUAGUGUAAUACGAUAAAGUUUAUUAUUAUUACCUAUACAUACAAUUUACGUAGAUAAAUAUGUUUUUUCUCUCUAUAAAUGUUUUAAAUAAAUCAUACAUUUAAAUGAGUUAUUAUUUAUUUAACCUGGUUCAAUCAAUCUACACAUUCGACUCAAAGCCAAGACCCAGAUCCCGUUCUACAUACCUACAGGUAGCCAGGCAAGGUAAGUAAACCGUAAACCUUAUAGGUGACUGGGAUGCUACGAGUACCAUUGUCAUGAUUUGGAUUUGUUUUUAACUUACAUAUAUUAUUUGGUUGUGUUUGCUAUCGAAAAACCUGGAUUAAAAGGAAUGACAUGCUCGCAGUACAUAAAUGGUAAACCUAUCAUUUGUUUAUUCGCAGGUGAGACCCAGUCCGGAAUUCAGUUCAUUAACUUAAAAAAUAAUAAAAGAAUUUUAUUAGUUGACGGGUACUCCUUUGCACAAACCACUCUAAGACAUUGGUAUUGUUCGAAGAAAGCGAAGAAUUGCAAAGCUAGAGUAUUUUUCUCUACUGAUGAAGAAUCUGUCACAUUUUGCCAUAACGAACACAACCAUCCACCUCCAGUGUAUAAGUUAACAUCAAGUGGAUAUUAUGUUAAAAUAUGCUAAUGAUCAUUUUUAUUCAGGUAUAAGUUAAUUAAGUAAGUUACAUCCAUAUAAGUUAUUUCAGAUUUUUCAGAUGAUCAUGUUGUGAUUGCUUUGCCAUUGUGGUGACAUGUACGAAAUUAUAAAUAAUUUUAAAUGAAUUUUUCGUGUUUAAUAUGAGUAUUAUUUAAACACCUCGUAGAUUAUAUUUUAUAUUUUUUCACCUUGAAAUAUUAAUAUGCACUGGUAGCCUAUUUAUUUCUAUUUUUUGUGGCUGUAAGUAACUUAUACUUGGCUCUCUGGUAUGGAAUCUUUAACUCAUUAUCUUUUUCUUUUCAGCUUUGGCGUAUACGGAUUUCAGUAUUAUAAAAACAAGGAAAAACAAACGGGCCAUCAAUAUGGGGGGCUAUAAGUACAACCAAAUGGUCAGCAAAUAUAUAUUUUAUUGCAUUAAGAGACAAUCGUAUAAAUGUCCCGCAAGACUGCGGCUAAAUGCUAAAAAUCAAAUAGUGCAUAACAUCCCUGGCCACAAUCACAAUCCCGAAUACGCUAUGUUGCCCUAUUUUUGUAAAUAGGUUUAUGUGAAUCACGCUAACUCUGCACAUGUUAUUUACCGGUCACACUGAAAAAUUUAUCUGUUUUUUUCAAAAGUUGACAUUUUUCCUUGCAUAGUUAAGUAUAAGUAUAUUAGUUCGAUUAUAAAUAUUUCAUUAUUAGUGACAUGGUAAUUUUAACGUCUAAAUAUUAAAAUUACGUAAAAUAUACCUAAACAAUUCUGUACUUCCUUAGCUAUUAAUACUUCUUCUGUAAAUGAGACCACCCUGUGAAUUGGACCACAAUAGACUUUGGUCCAUGGUCCACAGCAUACACUGAGCUUGGUUUUUAGCCAUUUUGACUUUCUGGGCAGCAACUUCCUGCGGACUUCUGCUAUCUCGCCCUAUUUGUAUAUUUCUCAACUUUUACAUAAAUGGAGGUCGUUGACCUCGAUCGUGAUCCGAGCCCUUAUAGACUUAAAAGUGAAAAAAAAUAUUCAAAUAUUUUCUAACCCGAAUAAUUAAGACCCUUCUCGAUGUUCGUUAUGCGGUCCACCGGGGUUUGUUUGAGAUCUUGAGAAGCGCCUCUAUAGGUAACGUUUGAAACUAAUAAAGUUCCAUAAAAAAUCCCUGGUGGACUUAUCGAAUAACGAUACUAUCAACAAUAUCAACAUGACUGUGUCUAAAUUAUUCGUGAUUGCACUUUUGAAAUUAUAGUGAGUGCAAGAUUCUUCUCACGGGAGCCAUGCUUUUAUUAUUAUACGAAAUGUGCACCAUUUUA